AAAAAGUUCCUGAAUUUUCCCCAAUCGUCAAAUUCCCAAUUCCUUUUCCAUCCAAACAGCAAUUAAACACCUUCGACUGUAAAUUCCUCUCCAAAAUUUUCCUCCAGCUGGGAGCAUUUCUUUCCCUCUUUUUCCGGCGACUGAUCGGAGAUGGUUUCACCGGAGAAUACCAACUGGCUUUAUGAUUAUGGGUUCGAAGAGAGUGCUGUCCCUGAUUCGAAUUUCUCAGCUACUGCAUCUGGGUUUAAUUGGCAGCAAAACUUGAAUAGUUCAAGAAAUGUUAGGUAUUUUAUUUUCUCAAAUUUUUGCAUUUUCUUAUGUAACUCGGUAAAGUUAGGAUCUUUUACCUGAUUAUGAAUCUUUAUUUUUUCCAUGAUUUAGAAAUUUUGAGUCAUGAUAACCCGUUUGACUGCAACUGUGCUUGUCCUCUAUGUGCCGUAAAGUUUAAACUUUUAGGGAUUUUUACGCUGCACAUUUGGAAUUUCUAAUCUUAGGUUUUAGUUUUUCAGCUGUCUUUUCUGGUUUUAGUUUUGGGCCCAAACAUAGUCUAACUUGGCAUGAUGGAUAUAUUGAGCAUUUCACAUUUGUUACCUCUUUACUUUAUCUUAUUGUGAUUUGAUGGCACAGUGUUACUUUUAGUGUUCUUCAGGUCUAAAGUUAGGAUUAUGCAAGCAAUUCAUUGUUGUCAUUUUCCGGAUGAAAAGUUAGUAAAUUUUGGAAGUAAUGGAAUUCCACUAUCUUAUCUACAGGUGGUUAGUAGAAAAUACAUAUGACUAGUGAAAAAUAAUUCUUUACAUAGAAUUAUACGUAUCUUUGGGAAAAGAAUUUAGAGGCCGACCUAGAUUCAACUAUAGAAUUAAGAUAGGAAUGCUGGAAGUGUCCAAUUACCUGAAGUUUCCUCUUUAUCCGAGUUGAGAAGGUAGAAACUUAAUGGUUUUCAGCGCAAGCUACUAUAAGGUUCCUAACGUCCAGCCCUAAGUGGAGUAGCAGGUUGAAUAUAUAAUACUACUUUGGAAAACUGAAAUAUUUGACUUGUCUUCCCAUGCGUGUUACCUACUUUCCAUCAGAAUCCUGCAUUUCGCUUACUAAAGUGAUGACAUCAUCAGAAUCUGUUAGUAGUGGCAGUGGUUGGAUAAGAAACAACGCAGGAGGAUGUACUGAAGAUGGAGGAUAGGGAAAUACUUUUAGCACAGAGCAUCCGAUGUGCAGAAAGAGGUGAGCAGAUAUUACCGUAGACAUUACGACAAGGUUUGAAGGGAAUAGGCGAAAACAUUCAUAACAUCGUUAAAGGGAAGUAGAAAAUAGGAAUCACUUAAACUAGGAGGAUGCUAUUUCUUUGAUGAGAAACUUGAUGGCAGUAGAUUGAGGAAAAAAUAUUAGUACCACUUAACUUAUUGAGAACGAAAGGAGGAAAUUCUAAGAGAAGGUGCAGAGUAGAAAGAGGAACAGAUAUGGAGAGGAAAGUUAGGGGAAAGAAGUGUUUGGAUAUUUAAAGAUAGACUAAAAAAUGAAGAAUAUAGAAGGAAGCUAAAUAGAGAGGAGAAGGAAUAGAAGACAACUAGUACUACUACAAGAACCAACACGACAACUAAGCCUCAAUCCGGCACUAGUUGGGUCAGCUAUGAAUCCUCUGUAUCGACUCCACUCUGUUUGGAUCCAUUUUAUUACAAUAUUGAUAAUAUGUCUUCAAAGAUAAUUUUGCACCUCACACUUAUCCCUACACUUUAUCGGAAACCGUCUCUCUACCCCUCUGGGUAUGGGUAAGGUCUAAGGUCUGCAUACACACUACCCUCCCCGGGUGGGUGAGAUUAUAUUCGGUUAUUGUUGUUGUUGUCGUUGUAUACUUAUCCCUGCACUUACUUUUAUAAUGACAUAAGUUUCUAAACACAGCGAAGAAGCUCCUGGAAAAUGUUGGACCAAAUGUAAGCAUACCAUCUUGAGUAAGCCUUGAUCUCAACUAGUUAGUAUCGCCUGUAUGGAUCUUUUGCUUCUACUACUAGAAGCGUAAAUUAAGCACGAAAUGGAAUAAUGUUCUUUAAUAUUGGCUAAAAUUGAGCCAUGCUGGGGAGGGGGAUUCAAUGUUUCUAGUACCCAAUUGAAUGACUAAAAUUUGCUUGAUUGUCAGCUAGAUGUGUUCACUACACGUGAUUUAAAAUUUCUGAAUUGAUGUAGCUAUUGCUGUAUGAUAAUUUUCAAUAGAUCAGCAGGGAGUUACAUCAUGAAAUAUUUUUUGCUUUCUAGUUCAAGUUUGUGCAUUCUGCUAGGUUUCUAUUGACAUAAUUUUUGGUCUUUCAUGUGGCUGAUUCUUCUGUUUAUUGUUUUAGUUUUGACCUCUGUUUCCUUUUUUUUUUUGUGCUUGUUUCUAGUGCUGAAGUUGAUGGAUCCAUUGGUGAAUCAGGCUACCCAAAGGAAAAUGGUUCUAAGAAACGGUAAGAACAUUGACCUUUUCUGAACAUUUUUGUGGUAAUCUCGAUUAUUGCUGUUGAAUAAAGAUGUGAUGCUGCACUCAAUCACUGCUGUUUUCAACUAUUGUUAAUUAAAUCAGUGAGGUGACACGUUCCUCCCUCUCUCUUUUUUAAGUUUUGAGAUUUCUUUACCUUUUUUUAAAUUUCUGUGAUUCGUCAUUCUAGAAACAUCUGUUGCUUCUGCUUUCAAUUUGGUGAGGUGUAAGUCUGAAAUCAUUUCGGCCAAUUUAUGUGUCUGAAAUCAUUUCGACAAUUUAUGUGUUCUCUCACAAUGUUAGGUAAUUGUUACAGGGCUAGAGUUGAAUCAUGUGGUCCAACAAGUUCAAAAGCUUGCAGAGAGAAACUGCGGAGAGAUAGGCUAAAUGACAAGUGAUCUCACAGCCCAUUAUAUAAGAACUUUUCAUUUUAUUUCACGAUGAAUUGCUAAAACUGACGUAAUUAUCAGGUUCACGGAAUUGGGUGCACUCCUUGAGCCUGGCAGGCCCCCCAAAACGGACAAAUCUGCUAUUCUGGUGGAUGCUGUUCGCAUGGUGACCCAGUUACGCGGU
rnacentral:lncRNA from 1 species